rnacentral:misc_RNA from 1 species
CGCAAUGGAGCUGGAUCUGGUUUGUAUGGACGAUAUUCUCUGCUCAGUGCAGGAGAAAAUUUCACUCCAAAGCGUUCAUGAAACAAGUCAACUGCAUCUUUGACAUUUCUAGUGAUUAAUCCCCUUCUAAUAUUCCUAGAAUCAAGAAAACUACAAAGUUCAGCAGCACCAGGCAUAAUCUGGAGUCGAUCAAGACCCUGUUUUUCAUAAUCAGCAAUAACCUCAUAUGCCCUACGUUGCUUAUCAGGGCUCCAACUUUCAAUGUGG